UGGGGAAUAUUGCACAAUGGGCGAAAGCCUGAUGCAGCAACGCCGCGUGAGUGAUGAAGGCCUUCGGGUUGUAAAGCUCUGUCUUUUGGGACGAUAAUGACGGUACCAAAGGAGGAAGCCACGGCUAACUACGUGCCAGCAGCCGCGGUAAUACGUAGGUGGCAAGCGUUGUCCGGAUUUACUGGGCGUAAAGGAUGCGUAGGCGGAUUUUUAAGUGAGAUGUGAAAUACCCGGGCUUAACUUGGGUGCUGCAUUUCAAACUGGGAAUCUAGAGUGCGGGAGAGGAGAAUGGAAUUCCUAGUGUAGCGGUGAAAUGCGUAGAGAUUAGGAAGAGCACCAGUGGCGAAGGCGAUUCUCUGGACCGUAACUGACGCUGAGGCAUGAAAGCGUGGGUAGCAAACAGGAUUAGAUACCCUGGUAGUCCACGCCGUAAACGAUGAGUACUAGGUGUAGGAGGUAUCGACCCCUUCUGUGCCGCAGUUAACACAAUAAGUACUCCGCCUGGGAAGUACGAUCGCAAGAUUAAACUUAAAUGAAUUGACGGGGUCAUAGCUGUUUCCU
rnacentral:rRNA from 1 species